rnacentral:lncRNA from 1 species
AAAGAAUAUCUUUAAAAUAAUAUUUAUCAGAUCGAGAUCCAAGCUAGUCGGUUUGUAAUAUCUCACAUAAGUUUGACACUCCAAAUCCUAAGAUAAGAGAGCAUCGAAUUAUCCAAGUCCAUAUCUCAUAUGAAGUUUUGGUGACCGAUAUGCUUGCAACAUUCUCAAACACAUAUCAAGUAGUCUCUAAAACAUAACCUCAGACAGACCAUCAAACCCAUAGUAGACCGAACCAUGUCUAAUAAAGUUCGAUUCCUCCUUUCAGACAUUCUUUUAAAUAGUGGUAUCCCAAG